AAUAAUUAAAAUAUUAGUAUACAAUUUUGAAUUCCAUUCUCAUCUGUGAGGUUAAAAAUCAGCAGGGGGGAACCCUUUGUGAGUUACAAGGAACGUAUAAGAAACCAGUACCCUCACACAGUAUUUAAGUGCUUUUGCAGUAGAACUUUGAAAUCCUAAUGUAGUGCUUUUAAAAAAGGCGGUUCCUGGGGAUAAGGGAAUAUGCAUGACCAUACCUCUUCGUAUUUGAGUGGCUCAAAUAUGUGCACUGAGACAGUGAACUAUGUAAAAUGCCUGAGAUACUUAAGCAUUUAGGAGAAUUUUUGGUUUGUUUUAACUGCUAGACUGGAAGGAGAGUAAAAAGCUUGGUAGUUCUAUCUAGUGAAGUUGAUUAUUGCUACCUUAUGUGACAUAAACCUAAAAUGCUAAACAUUCAUUAAAAAAAUUAAACCUACAAUGAAUUAAUGAAGUGGAUAAAUCCUCAACUCCAUCCACAUGAAUCCAUUGCAGAACUCAUGAUGAAAUUACCGUUUCCCAACCAAGCAGAAACCACUGAACACAUCCCUCACCAAACUACCCUGGGGCUUGGUCUGCAGAUUCCGAGUGUCAUAUACCACUGCUCUUUACCUUCAAUAAACAAAUGCUUCUACAGCAGUGGGCCUUGCUUUCAACCCAAAAGGGACACGAGCCCUGCUUGUGGAGUGAACUCCACUGGGGUGCGGCAAGGGAGGCUCUGCUCUGAGUCCCAGGAAUCUGGCUCAGGAACACCGAGACCAUUGUCUUUAGAGGCAACAAAAGGGGUUGUUGAAAAAACCAAGCUUUAAUAUAAAGCCAAAAAUCUGCGCUCAUCAUUUUGUGUUUCUUUGGCAUUGAAAUAUGGCAGCCACUCUCCGCUCCUGCUGCUGUUUAUAUUUAAAGGAGGCCUGCAGCCAUGGAAUGGGAGCCAGCUUUCAAUAUCUCACUCCUAAAAACAAAAACAAAAAAUCCCUCUAUCGUUUCUACUCAUGCGUCCUUUGACUUCCUGUCUGAACCUUUGGGGCUGGGGAGAUGGUGGUGAGUGACAGAUCAGCAGGAUUCUUCACACCAGAGCCUGAGAACUCUCCCGGACAAUUCUUUCAUAACCAGAUACACAUCUGUGUUUACUUGGAGGAGGGGGACAACAUUCCUUUGGCAUUGGGUCAGAUUUUCUUGUCUUCUUACAUAUGUAUAUAUAGAUAUAUAUAUGUUUUUCUGGUUCUAAUUGGACAAUUUCUGUUAAAUCUCAGGAACAGUGGAGUGUAAUCAUUGUGGAGUUUAUUUCAGCUUCUUGGCUGGCAGUUACAUUGGCCUCUAAUCGUGAGUGGUGGAGGAACUGCUGCAAUUACAUAACCUUUACCCUAACUGCCUGAAGAAUGACAGCUGAAGGGGAGGAGAAGCAUUUCUCAUGCUUGAAUUCAGGCUUUCCCAUCUACUUACAGUUAGGAACAGUCACACAUAUGCUUUCCCAUGCUCCACCUGAAGUGGCUCCUGUAUCAAACGUAGUAUCUGAAAUUUGAGAGGAAAGAAUAAAAGAGAGAAAUGGAGAACAAGAGGAAGAGAAGGAAGAAGAGAGGGUGUGUGGAUUUUUUACCUUGAGAUGCUUAUACAUGCAUGGCAGAGAAACAAAAACAAAUGACAUGAAAUGAUGCUGUGAGUUGGGAAAUUUUAUACAUUUAGUUGGCUCUGCUGAUUGUUCUAAUUACCAGUUCAUAUGGUUUCGCUGCAUGCCCACCCAAAUCUCAUCCUGAAUUGUAGUUCCCAUAAUCCCCACGUGUCAUGGGAGGGAUCCAG